rnacentral:lncRNA from 1 species
CAGAAAGCAGUGCAAUGUGGUGAAUAAAGGUAAGAGGUGAACAUCUGCUUUCACAAAUGGAGGACCCCCUUUCCUGCCCAAGCUGUUACAGGAAGGACUACAAUGUUCCAUAGAAUUAAGGAUUUUUAUCUGUGGAGACUGGGAUGCUAUAAAGGAUCAACCAGGCAUUUGUUUCCUACAAAGGGAGCUGGCUUGCAAGAACUUCCUAAGGAUGAAAUGAAAAGGGAAAACAGAAAAUAUGCAGCAAAGACAGAUGGAAAGAGCCUCAGAAGUGCCUUUCCAAAGAUUCGGUCUAAAACAAAGGAUAAGAAGCCUCCAGACAGUGAUGAAAAAUUGCAGAAAAAAUUCUUCACUCCAGCCCUGGACAGACUGUUGUGUGAAGAUGAAGAAGAGUACCAGGCAUACUCAAAACUGGGACCUCUGAAGAGAAAGCUGCUUGUGGUUGGAAAAGGUGUACCUACUUGUAAGGAAACAGAAGAAAUGCCAAGUGGGAGCUACAGAGAAGAGGGCACUGUUGGUAAAUCAGAUGGGCAUAUCACAGCUGAGAUGAUCAAGGCCUUAUUUAAGGAAAAUGUUGAUGAAAACUAGACAAGCUGUGCUGUUUACACAGAAAUGUAACAUUCUCAGUUCAUUAAAUAUUUGAUCUCUUCUGUGUGGCAUGGGGCUUCCAGGAAACUAUUUUAGAGCCUGAAUCAUGAUUAUAAGUUUCAUGAGAGGUAUGUCUGUGUGUAGAGGCUAAUUGAAAGGUUCCUUUCCUUACUGCUGAGAGAGGUUUUGUGCACUCUUUGGGGUAUUCAGUCCACAUAGC